rnacentral:rRNA from 1 species
CGGCGGACGGGUGAGUAACGCGUGGGUAACCUACCCCAAAGUCCGGGAUAACAGCGGGAAACCGCUGCUAAUACCGGAUGUCUUUACCUUGGGGCAUCUUGAGGUAAAGAAAGGUAACGCUUUGGGAUGGGCCCGCGUCCCAUUAGCUAGUUGGUGAGGUAACGGCUCACCAAGGCGACGAUGGGUAGCCGGCCUGAGAGGGUGGACGGCCACACUGGGACUGAGACACGGCCCAGACUCCUACGGGAGGCAGCAGUAGGGAAUAUUGCGCAAUGGACGGAAGUCUGACGCAGCGACGCCGCGUGAGCGAUGAAGGUCUUCGGAUCGUAAAGCUCUGUCCUUGGGGAAGAAGGUCUUCGGACUCGACGGUACCCAAGAAGAAAGCCCCGGCUAACUACGUGCCAGCAGCCGCGGUAAUACGUAGGGGGCGAGCGUUGUCCGGAAUUACUGGGCGUA